UAAUAUAUGCUGAGUAGCAACAGAGUGGGCUUGAUGUUUGAUGUCCACAUCAGAGUAAGUUUUUGUAGUUAAAUAAUUUAUUUGGAAGAGGGAGGGAGAAAGAGAAAGAAAAAGAGAGAAAGAGAAAUACAGACAGAAAGAAACGAGAUCAUAUCUUCUGGCUCACUUCUCAUUGCUCACAAUCAUCUCCAGUUGGGGCUAAAACUGGGAGCCACAAACUCAGUCCAGGUCUUCCACAUAAGUGACAGGAACCCAGUCACUUGAGCCAUCACCAUUGCCUCCCAGGGUGCACAUUAGCAGGAAACUGGAGUCGGAAGCAGAGGAAGGUAUCAAACACAGGUACUCAGGAGGAAUGCAGUCAUCUUAAAUGGCAUCUUAACCAUUAAGCCAAACAGCUCUCCCAAGGUCUAUUUCAGAAUAAAGAAUUUAAUGGGAGCGGGGUAAAACCAUUAACAUUUGAAGAAAGUCACACACAGAGGUACAGGUGCAUGCUCGUGUACACACACACACACACACACACUAUAUGCAAUCAUUUAAAAGGCAAAUGAAGAGAGAAAAAUGAGGAUCUUCUUUGAAGUUCAUUUUUUUAAAAGAUUCAUUUUGUGUAUUUGAAAGAAUAACAGAGAGAGGAGGAGACAAAGAGAAAGAGACCUUCCAUCCACUGAUUUACUCCCCAAGUAGCUGCAUCAUCCAGGGCUGACCCAGGCCAAGGGCAGGAACCAGGAGCUUCAUCCAUGUCUCCCCUGUCUAUGCAGGGGCCCAAGCACUUGGCCAUAUUCCACUGCUUUUCCAGGUGUAUUAGCAGGGAGCUGGAUUGGAAGUGGAGCAGCUGAGACUGGAACCAGUGCCCAUACAGGAUGCUGGCACUACAGGCUGUGGCUUAAACCACUACACCACAACGCUGGCCCUUUUUUUGAAUUUUAAUACAACUGACUUACUGAGUGGGUAAAUGUACAACUCAACUGGUAGAUUCAGUAGGGCUUAGCAGCAUGAACUUUCCCUGAUACUCAGCACAUUAUGGAAGUCAGUAAAUUUUUUUAACUGUUUUUUAACAGAGCAACUAAAUAACACUGUAGUCCAAGCAUUGUAAUGAGCAAGAGUUAUUGAAGAAUAUCAGCAUGCUUAAAAUUACAAAGUAUUUUGAUUUUCUGAUCCUGUUAUUGACAUGUUAUUAUUUCAAAAACUAUUUUACUGUUAAAAUAUUCAUUUACUUGAAAAUUAGAGAUAAAGAGAGAGAGAGGGAAGGAGAGAUAGAGAUCUUCUAUCCACUGGUUCACUCCCCAGAUGGCUGCAAUGGCCAGGAGUGGGCCAAGCCAAAGUCUGAGCUCAGGAGCUUCUUCCAGGUGUCCCAUGUGUGUGGCAAGGCCAAAACACUUGAGCCAUAUUAGACUGCUUUUCCCAUGCCAUCCAUAGGGAGCUAGAUCAGAAGUGGAGGAGCUGGGACUUGAUCCAGUGCCCAUAUGGGAUGUGGGCAUUGUAGAUAGUGGCUUAACUCAUUACACCAUAAUGCCGGCCCCAUUAGGUUAUUUCUAGCUUCAACCCCCGUGCAUGUAGCAGAUGCUAUGGCUAACUCAUGAUGAAUUGUAACUCUUAUCUUCAAGAACCUAGGAGAAUGAGGCUAAAGAAAAUUGCUUUCAGAAUGUGACCAUCUUAAAAAUUAUGAUUGCAGGCCCGUGCCGCAGCUCACUAGGCUAAUCCUCCGCCUGCGGCGCUGGCACCACAGGUUCUAGUCCUGGCUGGAGUGCCGGAUUCUGUCCUGGUUGCUCCUCUUCCAGGCCAGCUCUCUGCUGUGGCCCGGGAGUGCAGUGGAGGAUGGCCCAAGUCCUUUGGCCCUGCACCCACAUGGGAGACCAGAAGGAACACCUUGCUCUCGGCUUCAGAUCAGCGCAGCACACCAGCUGCGACACACUGGCCAUAAUGGCCACUUGGGGGGCUGAACCAACGGAAAAAGGAAGACCUUUCUGUCUCUCUAACUUUGCCUGUCAAAAAAACAAAAAUAAAAAAUAAAAAAAAUUAUGAUUGCAGAGAAAAUUGCCCUUCAGUCAUGCUUUAUUAUUUACGAAUGAAUUUCUUUUUAAUUGACAUUCUUAAAUUAUUUUUACAUUGAUGCAUUACUGGAAAAAUAUCUACCCUGCCAGAACUUAGGGACUACAUACAUUAGAAAUCCAUUUGUACUACCCUUUCAGCUGUUUGUACUGCUAGCGACAAUUGCCAAACAUCCAUGCGUAUUUCCUACUUUUUCCUUAAUAUCAUGUUCCAAAUGGAGUUGAGGGGAGAAUUUACAUUAUGCUUUUGUGCUUGUGUGUGUGAAAGAAACUAAGGCAAGAUCACUAAUGACAGUAUAAGAUGUGAUUAUGGAAAUUGUUUGAACCAGAAUUUUAACAAUGUAAUGUAAAUUGUCACCUUAAUACAAUAAAACUAGAAAAUUAAUGAGGUCAUUUAAGAAUCCACAGGUGGACAUAGGUCAACUGGAGUGCAGUUGUGUUCUAAUUGUGCUCAAAGUUUUAAAAUGCUAUUUUUUCCAACAUAUUAGUUAUCAUAUUUCCAUUAUUAGAUCAAUGUGAUGCUUGCAUACUAGUGAUAUAACAAGGGGGAGGACUUCUAUUUUCUUUUUUAGAAGAUUUAUUUAGUUAAAAUUGGAGUAACAGAGGAAGACACACACACACACACACACACACACACCUUUCAUCUGCUGGUUCAUCACCCAGAUGGUCACAAUGGUUAGGACUGAGCCAGGCUGAAGCUAGAAGCCAUGAGCUUCUUCAAAAUUUCCCACAAUGGAGAUGCAGAGGCCCAAAUACAUGGGCCAUCUUCCACUGCUUUCCCAGACAAUUAGCAGGACACUGGAUGAGAAGUCCGGCAGCUGGAACACAAACUGGUGCCAUACAGGAUUCCAGCAUUGCAGGUGCAGCUUUAUCCACUAUACCACAGAGCCAGACCUAAGAUUUUCUAAGAUACGUAUUAUGUGCUUAACUGGUAGAAUUCCCUGGGAUACCAUUUCAAUUCUGAGCCAGUAAGAAUAAAAUUGGUCAUAAGUUUAAAUCAAAAAGUAUUAAAAGAGAGCUUCUUUGGAGUAAAUGCUUUAAAAGUCCAGGCUAAAAUUUAAGUACAGUUCAGAAAAUUCCAUAAUAGCCUAACCAGAUUUAUAUCUAUGAGGAUAAAGUUGUCUUCAAGCUGAUGCGCCAUGACUCAGAAAUUCCAUUUGCUUUCAUAUCAUUUAUUCUCUUUUCAUUCUCAACACCAUCCCUUUUAGACAAUGGUAAUGGCUUGAGCCUAAAAUAACCCCAAUGAAUCCAGGCAAUGCCUAAAUAUAGCAACACACAGAAGUCUGAAGCCUGGAGCCCAAAGCCGUUACCUUUCUUUUAUGGUAGGUGAAAGAGAACCGAGGUUUAUGUCUGCGUUGCUCCCUACCAGUGCAGAGCCAUGGUUUCUGUCACUUGAUGGAAAACGCAAUCUACAAUUAAUCUGUUUCAUGGGGCUAUUGUGAGCAACACAUCAAAUGACGCUUGACUUUGUCAACUGCUAAGUGCCAUGAACCUGCAUUCAUCACAAACUCUGUGGGGGCACAGAAGAGGGAGUCAUCAAGUUUUGGUCAUCAAGCAUCGAAUCAACUCAAAAUUUUCCAGUAGGGUGACUCUUCACUUUUAAGUAAACCUAGAGAGAAAAUCUAAAACUUGCAAUGAUGAAAACAGUUAUUUAUAUUUCCAAAACUUUUCUCUAAGUUUCUUCUCAUAAAUUCAUUGUUUAAAUCAGCUCUUUCAACUAGGCCUUUGAAAGAAUGGCCACUUCCCUCUACCUGUUCAUUUCUCUAUCAAUCUUGAUAGAACUUGUUUCAUUAUUCCUGCCCCUCCAAGUUGCACUGAAGACCAGCACACUCCGACCCCAGGCCUUGAGAAGCUUUCUGGCACUUAGUAGAAUAUUCAUCAACAUUUCUUGCAUGAAUAAGUGAAUAAAUAUAGUGACAAGAUCUAUAUUCUCAAUUAAGUUAAACAGCACUUCAAAAGUAUUCAAACUGGGUUCCUAUUGACAGCAGCUAAUCUAUAAUUUCAUGAUUAUGGCUUGAUAAUAGAGAUAAUUGGAAAGCAAUGACUGUGAAAUUUCAUUCUACUUAAUAGCCAAUAAGAACAUUUAUGAUUUAUGUAGGCUAAUACUAUAAUGCCACACAUUUGUGAGAACUGCUGAGAUCCUCAUAGCAGCUCCUUCCCUCCCCAACAGUGAGAAUUCUUUCCUCACUUUACAGAUGAGAAAAACUAAGAUUCGUACCAAUGUAAAUCACUCAAAAGCAUGCAGGCAGUGAAGAACUGGAACAAGUAUUUGGCUGGGUCCAAAGCACACAUUCCACAAUGAUAGUUCCUUCUAGCAAGUAAUUAUUUAAAUGAAAAAAUUAAAUCUGAUUUCAUAUUUGGUAAUGUUGUAAAAGUUGCCAGAAUUAAAAUGGAGUCACUACCACCAUCAAGCCUUAACCUCUUGCUCUUGCUAUUCCCCCCCUCCAAAAAAUCAUUAAAGCCAGGAGUUUAUGAAGGCCUAAAUAUAGCAAGUUUAUGAUCCUUGAUGAACAUAUGCUUGACAGCAAAAACUAUGCAUGAAAAACUCUGCCAGACCUGCAACCUUGCACAAUGGCCAUAACACUGCCCCUUCAGUGUGUGUUCCAUUCAGACUGGUGCCAUGCUUGUUAGUAAUCCUUGUAGCUAAGGAUUACUGUUUCAAUAUAUCUUACACAACCCUCACUGCACAUUUAAAAAGUUGUCCUUGCUUCAGUCUCUGGACACACUCAAGUUUGGCAUGCCAUGUGCAAUGGUCUUCUCCUCCCAAAUAAAUACCACUAUUCUCUUGAGAGUUUUUCUCCGAUCAUUAUGCAGAGGUUUUUUGGGGGGCAGUGGGUGUGAGGUGGGGUGGUUUCAAUACUUAUUAUAAAACUAAAAACCUGAAACCAAAAAAGUACAUUAAAAUUAGGAUGACACUGUCUGUCUAAACUGUAUUCCUGUUCCACACAAACACCUUAGGAGGACUAUUCAGUUCUCAUUGGGAAGCCUUUUUUCUCAAGGCAUUUGAAUACAUCAUUAUACCACAUUUUGGCAUUUAUUGCCAUUCUGAACAGCCUGUUUUUAAAAGAAAUAUUUUUUAAAUAAACUCACAGGUGAUUCUGGUAUAGGUGGUCCAUGGACCACACACUGCGAGAGACUCUAAGUCUCUACAAAAUCUGCCUUUUCAAUAGUUCAAAGCUCUUAUGUGAGGAAGGCUGAGGUCAUCCUCAUGGGGGAGGCAGAGGAAUUCUGGGCAGGUCAAAUAACGGCCAUUGAGCAUCACAGCCAGGGUUGGUAACUUAGUCUUUUCAGCUGUUCUAUACCUGAGCCUCUCAAACUGAACUGUGGCUGGGAGACCAUCUCAGUGUAGAUUCCAGGUACUCAGAGAUCUGUGAUAGGACCCCAGAGUUUCCUUUUCCAGCCAGCACAGGUGGUGCCGAUGCUGCUGUCCCCAGCUGCCCUUCAAAUGGGAAGUUGUAAAAGCAGCUGGCUGCUUUCCUUGAAAUAUAUUUAAAGGCUACAGAUUCAGCACACCCAGUUCCAACCAAGUUCCAUUUCAUCUGCAGAAGGCAUCACUGUAGCUCUUACUCAGAUACACAGAUCCUCUGCCCUCUCUAUUCUACCAGUAUUUUCCAGGAUAUAGACAAGGUGAAGACUCUUUUGUAUCAGCUGCUCACAGGUUAAAAUAGAGUUGGAUGUGGGGUCCAGCACAUCAAAGCUACAGUCUUGGGGGUCAGCACCUACAAAAUACGUGAUUUUGGACAAGUGGCGCAGAGUCUGUGCACCUUAUUUUCCCCAUCCUUAAUCUAAUCACCAUGAUUAUGCUGAGAUUCUGACAGGGGUUGAACUCUGUGACGUAUAUAGCACAGUGAAUGGUAAACAGUAGGUAUGUGUGAACUCUUGGCAACUUGUCCAAUGAUGCCCCCUCAUUCUGAUAUUCCUGGAUUUACCAAAGGAGCCCAUGCCCUUCAGAUCUUAUUUGCUCUAAUCCUUUCCUCUUUUAACUCCCUCAAAGAGUUGUUCUUAGGAUUAAAUGAAUUAAUAUGCAUAAAACACUUGGAACUGUUCCUGUCACAUAAUUAAUUAGUACCCAAGAUGGCUUAGCUUUUAUUUUUAGCACUUACUACAAUGACAAUUAAAUCACUUUUCAGGGAUUUUUAAAUCAACUCUCUCCCCAUGAGACUGCAAAUCUUAUGAGAGUAGGCAUUGCAAUGUUUUUCUAAAUUUCAUAUCCCGAAUCUCAACACUGUGCCUGGCACACAAUUCCUGCUUAGUAAAUAUGGUAGGAAUGUUUAAUAAAACAAUUUUACUUAUUUAUUUGAAAGCCAGAGAGACAGAUUCACUGAUUCAUUAUCCAGCUGGCUUCAAUAGCCAGGGAUGGGCCAGGCUGAAGCCAGCAGCUGUGAACUAAAUAUGAGGUUCUCAGGUGGGAGGCAGGAUCUCAAAUAAUUGAGCCGUCACUCGCUACUUCGUAGGGUGCACAUUAACAGGAAGCUAGAAUCUGGAGUGGAGCCAGGACUUGAACCCUGGCACUCCAGCAUGGGAUGAGGGUCUCUUAACCAGUAGUUCCAAAGCCCACCCCCCAAUAGGAUGUAUACAUGAAUGAAUCAAUGAGAAAAUGAGUGAAUGAAUAUCAAAAUAUUCUUGCCUUUCUGAAAAGAGUCCCAGAAAAAAAUGAGAAGCAUUCUCUUUGAGUGUUGAGAUAAUGGAUAAGGGAAAUAAUUCUAUCGGGGGUCUGGAGGGAGAUGUCUUUUCAAUAUCUCAGAAGACAGGAGGUGAGCUGAGAAGGAGCCUCGGCAGGGGAUUUUCAGCAGACACAGUCUUAAAAAAAAAAGUUCGAGCUAACAAUUUCCUGACCCAAUGUGUCAGGAGGGGCUUCGAGGUAAAAUAAACAGGAAAAAUGAGGUGUCUUUGAAUUUCCUGCAGCAGGGUUUAAUGAGGAAGCCAGAAAAAGCAACAAGAGGCUUUCCCUGAGCUGUGGUCCUUGGGGAGGAGCCAAUCACCGAUUGUCAAUUCCUCCGAGGAGCUGCCGGGAGCAGGUGGAGGGAGCAGGGGUUCAAGUUCACACAGGCUUAGCACGAAAUGUGCAAGGCUGCAGGACAUGGAAGUCCCCAGCCCUGACUACACAACCAAUGGGAACUGCCAAGAUGGAUGAGAGUGAAAGGAUUCCAAGGAAGUAGAAAGGAUAACUCAGGGGUAGUCCUCCAAAUAAGUUAAUCAUAGGGAAUGGCUUUAUCCACUUUACAUUUGGUUUUAUUACAGUUAUUCUUCAGGGAUGAUACUCUCUCUGCAAAGGAUAAUAUGAGGGGAAAAAAAUCUUCCCUUAAAAGGGAAUGACUCAUUAAAACAUUUCUAGACUACUUUAAACCCACUCUAUAAUGGCAGUCCUCUCCCUGGUGGACUAGAGAAGCCAUUUCCUAUAACCUCAGGCACUCACUGAGGCAUGGGAUGAAAACUGAUAGCAAAAUGGACUUCAUCUACAAAGGGAAGAAAAUAACAAGGCCAUUGUCUAGGUCGGCUUGGUCUCCAAAGAGCCUUCCUCCACGUAUCCCCUGUAACAGUGAUCUUCUCCAAAACUGUGGGGAGAGGGCUCAUUGUUUUCAUUUUACAGAUGAAGAGACUGAAGCCCAAAGAGGGUAGAUGAAAUGUCCAAGGCUAUGCAUAUUCCUAAGUUGUACAGCAGGAUUUGGAAGCAUUUCCUCACUACAAGCUCAGGGUUCCAAGGCAAUACAGGCAGAAGGCAGUCUUCAUGCUGAGAAUUCUGCCAGAACAAAAUGGUUGCAAGGUCUUUAUCUUGGCAGAUGUGCCAAGGGUUUUAAUAGUUACAAACAGUUUUGAAUAGGUCAUCAGAAGAUCAAGGAUAUAGGCCCACAUACAGUGAGUUCCCUCUCCUGGGAAGGCUGCACAUCUGUUGAUGCUCAGGAGCAGGUAUGAUGAGUGCCAUUGCAAAUCCCCACCUGCCUUUAAUGCAAUUCCUAUGUCUACUGCUCUUCUAUUACUGUAGUCUUUAAUAAGACUGAAAUGUGUGUAAUCACCAGAGAUGUUUAGUUGCACCUGAUUAAGAAACAGGGACCUAUUUCAGGGUCCUAGACCUCUACUUACAAUCCAAAUACACUUCUGGUAUGUUCCUGACUCAUUCGUUGGCCUUCAUCCUUCUGCAAUGGUUCUUCAGCUCCCUGAGCUGGAAGGACACUGAGGGCUGCUGUUAUCUUCCAUGUGUACUGCAUGCAACAUGAGGUCUGGGCCAGUGAACUCACCCCUUAGGGCUUAAGUUUUCUGGCUUCAAGAAAUUAAGCUUUGGGGCCAGUGCUAUGGCUCACUUGGUUAAUCCUCCACCUGUGGAGCCGGCAUCCCAUAUGGGCGCUGGUUCUAGUCCCAGCUGCGCCUCUUCCAGUCCAGUUCUCUGCUGUGACCCGGGAAGGCAGUGGAGGAUGGCUCAAGUUCUUGGGUCCCUGCACUCGCAUGGGAGACCAGGAAGAAGCACCUGGCUCCUGGCUUUGGAUUGGCACAGCGCCGGCCAUAGCAGCUAUUUGGGGAGUGAACAAAUGGAAGGAAGACCUUUCUCUCUCACUCUCUCACUGUCUAUAACUCUACUGUCAAAUUAAAAAAAAAAAAAAGCUUUAAUGUCUUACAGCCACCAGAGGUCAGAUAAUUUGAGAGGGUCAUCCAUCAUCUCUUCCUGCCAGGUGCUGACUCAUAUGGCAAAUUCAUGUGACUUCAAAAGCCUGUGCGGUGUACACUGUGCUGAACACAUCUCUAUGGCUUCACUGUGUGUCACUCUACAGUCCUGGAACUGUUGCGGGAACUCCAAGAAUGAUGUUUGAUGAUACAUUGAAGACCAGUGCAGUCCUCACUAUGUCUUAACACCAGCUGCAUUCUCCGUACUUAGUAGAACAUUUUAAAGCACUUAAUCAUCCACAGCCCUAGCCAAAGAAAGGGUAGAAGGAAACACAGCCUAGGAGUUCCAAUUGCUCUGAUGAAGUGAAACCCGACAGCGGUGGCAGAAGAGUGUGUCUCUGGAAUGAACCCUCCUGAUUCUCAUCUUCAUCACCGUGCUGCCUCCAGCAGAGUGCAUACUUGCCCUGUCUCCAUUAUCUUAUCUGUAAAAUGGAAGGGAAGGAAACUAUCUGCUAAGGAACACUUGGCUCCAGCUUGGCUGUCUAAACAUCGAGGGCUGUUAUUAGGAACACGCUAAUUGUGACCAGUCCACCCUUGACCUGCUCGCUGAAAAGUCAGUGCAUUCAAUGAGAAGAGUUACCUGGGGGAGUAAAUGAAGCAAGUGAACACAGCUGAUAUAGAACAAUAGGCUGCGAGCCACCAGGCAUUCAAGUGAGCACUCGGCGUGCACUGAUACCGUAAGUGAAGGAAGAACUGAGCAAAGGAUCAUGGUCACUGCUCCUGCCAGCACUGUCACCAAAGGGCAGUCACACUGCUCAGUGUCCUUAGGGGCACCAGGGAGCGGUUCUCACUGGCUGGAAUAUGAAGAGCCCCAUGUGAAGUGAAAGGAAAAAAACUGUCUUCCAUGUAAUAAGUAAGCAUUGCUUGAAUAUGUUUACUCUGUGCCUGAGAUUGUUCUCAGUGUAUUUCGGUAUUUUACCUUAUUUGGUCCACACAAAUCUAGGCACUUACUACCUUGAUUCUGGUUCACAGAUAAGAAAUAGAGUGAAAUGAGUUAUCCAAUGGGACACAGUCAGUAACCGGUCAAGCUGAGACUUGAACUUGGUGGAUUGCCAGCACCUAAGCUGUGAGCCACUCUGCUGGAAAUAUUGCAGAAUGGUGCUUAUACCCCUAUUCAGUGUAUGGGGUAUGACUAAUCCACAGAUAGUACAUGGACCCAACAAUAACUCACAGAUAUAGCUUUGUGAGGGAUCACACCAUAAAAGUUGUGAGCCCCUGGCUAGAGACAAUCUACCAUGCUGCCAAUGUCCCUGCCCACUACCUACAGAUCCUCUAUGGACUCAUCUCACCAUUUAACACCUGGGAAGAAAGGAGGCAUGAAGCUCAGUCUUGGGUUUUCUGGAAACCCACCUGCUCCCUGACCUUGCCAUGUUCUCAGUGUUUCCAUGUUUCCUUCAAUGUAAAGAAGGAUUUCAAUGGAAUGAGUUCCAAAGGGAUUUCUUGCUCCACUUUGACUAGACUAGCUUCCAAUGCUAAUAGGUAGGGUCUCAUCUUCCAGUUAAGGGAGCUCUUGCCACUUCAUGCUUCUUUUUUGUUCCAGAUAAAGUGUUAGCACUGUUUCCACUGCUGCACGCUGCCACCAACUCCUCUCAUCACAGCAGACUUCCAAAAGGUCUCGCUACUUUCACAAUUACCCCAAUAAAUCACUUUGUAUGUUAUCCAUGGUGAGACUUUUAAAGAAUGUGAGAUGAUAUUCUCAUCUGAGGAAAUCAUUUCAAUGAUUGUCCAGUAGGUUUAAAGUAAAACCUAACCCUUUACAGUGCCUUCGCAGCUUUCCCCAACUGCUCUCCCAUCUCCCCUCAGGAUUUCUUCUACUUCCAGCCCUCUUCUUCCCCACUCUAAGCCAUGACAGCUUUCUUUGCCUUUGCACUUGCCACUUCUUCUGCCUGCAACUUUCUCUCCUCUGAUCUUUUCCUGUUGUCUCUUCCUUUAACAUUCAUUUAUGAGACUUGUUUUCUGUCUACAGAGUCCACUCCACUGAUCACUGAAUCAAAAAAAUUUUUUCUCUUUCUCCAUUCUGUUCCUCUCACAUUAUUCUGUACUUUUGUUGUUGUAUUUGCUAUGAUUUCUAUUUUUUACACUUAUUUCCUAAUAUGUCCUUGCUUACUUAUUGUUUAUUUAAUUAUCUUCCUUUUGCUAAAAGAUCAUUUGCAUAGAAGCAAGAAACUUGCUUGUUUUGUUCAGCACCCAAGUUCCAUGUUAAGAAAAGUACCUGCCACAAAAUAGGUGCUCAAUAGAUAUUUGGAAGAUAAACAAAUGAAUGAUGAAAUCAAUGAAUCAUUAUGAGAACAAGUUAAGCCGGAAAUACAGAACCAAUGACCAAUGGCAGUUGAUGUCAUUCAUAUGGGUGAAGACUCCCUGAUAUUUCAGGGAACAUUCUCAAAGCAUUGCCGAUGUCAGUAUUAUCUUGAGUUAAGUGGAAGUCAUGUCAAAGAUGGUAGUGAGCUCCUUAUGUAAACUGUGCUGAUCAGGUGUUUUAUAAAAGUCUGGGUUCACAGGGUUCAGCCCCCCUAGGCCCACACAGAGUAGGUGAUAUUCAGAUAGUUCCCCACAUAGUUAUCAUUAGAGGACAAGGAGUUGUGUAAGUUAACCACUUAGACUGUCCUUCUUUUCAAAUUUAGCCAACAAUUCACACAGUUGGCUACCAUACUCUAUCAUGGAAUUCGAACUGACAAAAAAUUAGGCAAUAUGCCAUUGUUUUGAUGGUUCUUGUUUGAACAUGCUGUUAGCAUUGUUGCUACUGUCUUAAAAAUAACACUUACCCAUUAUUAGAAUACUAAAAAUAGAGCUCCAGUGUUUUCUAAGUUGAACAUUUAUAGAGAAGGUUAGGUAGAUUCAAAAUAAUCUGUGAUUUGAUGAAACCCUUAUUAGCAAUGCUAAUUUCAAUAUGGUCACAUUUCAACUCUAAUCUUUCAAUUGAGCCUGGCCUUCAGAUCAGUUCAAAAUAAUUUAGUCUUUUUCAGAACAGAAAAGCUUGUCUCCCCUUUGGAGGCCAUCCCUCCUAGUCCAGGCAACUGUUCUUUUCUUUAGAGCUUCUAUUUCUAAACAUCUGGCCUCUCAAAAGGGGUCCUUUCAGGCCCACGUGCUCCUGGGCUUGGCAGUGGGACGCCUCACUUUCUAAGCAUUUAGCAGAGCCCGAGAGGAGAAUUCCAGAGCCGUGAAGAUCUCUCCACUGGUGGAAGGGGUGUAAUCAAAGACAAGACGACUCUGGCCAGACUAAUAAUGACUGAUGGAGUUAGUGAAGAUUCCUCCAUUCUGCUCCUAGGACAAUUUCAACUCUUUGAAGCCACAGCAAUGAGAGCACUUGCUUUCAAUGCACUCCAAAGAAUGACCUCCAUUUGGGCCCUUCCUUCUCUGUCCGAGUAUAGGUACUAGCAGGGGUAAAACGGGCUCACUCUGAUGUGAGCAGGACAGUCAAUGCAGAGCUUCUUAAGUCUGCUGUCUUUCAUUCCCCUUGUAGGAAAGAAAGGGUGUUUUUCUCCAACUGUUUUCCUUUUCAAAUGCCUAAUGAGAUAAAAAAAAAAUCAGUGUCAUUUGAGCAUUAUGUUAGAUCAUUAGCUUUCCUCAGUGGAGUUCAAGGGUGGUUAUGGGAUCUGUAUGUGGAGCUGAAAGCAGCAGCAAAAUCUAGGGAAACACGAAUAGCUCAGAAACACAGCGGAUCAAGACUGAGAAAAGUUAGGAUAUUUGGGUGGAAAUGCAGUCAUGCCUAGGACAGUAGAAAGAGAACUAAUGGCAUUUUAAAUGGCAAGUUAGAAGUGUUCAAGACACGUUUGGAAGCUCUCUAAGCAACUUAACUGUGAGCCCACAGACCACAGUAAAGUGCCUGGCCUGGCACAGAGCAGCUCAGCAGUGACGCCUUACUGACAGAUGAACGCACAGAACCUCCUGGUGGGCAGAAUGCACUGGACAAAGCCUGAUCCCCUUCUGCAGACACCGUGGUGGCCAGCUUCCCUCUGUCCCUCUAGAAUUGCUGUUGCACCCACUCCAGUCUUAUGAGGCUGACCUAACACAACACAUCAGCAAGCACCCAUUCUCCAAGGCAUUCCAGUGGAAGAUGCUUCUAUUCCAGAGGAAGGUGGGAGGAGACUGAAGGCAGGGUGCUUGUUCCCUUGAUCUGUCCUGAUGGGUCCCAGGGCAGCUUUGUUCCCCUGGUGAAGUCAUAGAGGGUAUGAAGCAGCCUUCUCUAGACCAUGUAGCCUUUCUGUCCCUCCUUCAUCUCUGUCUCUGGGGCUCCUCUGCUCUCACCCUGACCCAACAGGUGGGGAGGGAUCAUACCUCCCAUCAGUUACUACUCCCAAAUACUGGCCAUGCCAUACCUCUUUUUUUGCUUUAUUUAAAUUCCACACACCCCUUUGAAAGUCAUCCUUUUAUUUUUAUUUUUAUUUUUUUGACAGGCAGAGUUAGACAGUGAAAGAGAGAGACAGAGAGAAAGGUCUUCCUUUUUCCAUUGGUUCACCCCCCAAGUGGCUGCUAAGGCCAGCGCACUGCGCCGAUCCGAAGCCAGGAGCGAGGUGCUUCCUCCUGGUCUCCCUGGUCUCCCAUGCGGGUGCAGGGCCCAAGCACUUGGGUCAUCCUCCACUGCCUUCCUGGGACACAGCAGAGAGCUGGACUGGAAGAGGAGCAACCGGGACAGGAUCCGCCACCCCAACCAGGACUAGAACCUGGGGUGCCAGCACUGUAGGCGGAGGAUUAGCCUAGUGAGCUGCAGCACCGGCCAACAAUUCAUCCCUUUUCAAAACUCCUUUCACUCACUCCAUGGGUCAGCUAUUUCAUACCUGGAACCUGACUAAUCCAAACAGGGGGACUCAAUUUCCUGUUCUAUCUCUCACUGAUACGUCACAGGCCCCAUCUACAAAACUAGGUUCUUGCAAACAAAUGCAUACCCAGUGUUACAUGCAUAGUGAGCUUUCAAUAUGCGGCAUAUAUAAUGAAGAUAGUGACACUCCCUGGCAGGUGGUUUGCUUGAUGGAGACGAUGAACAUAUUCUUUCAUUUUUCUUCUAGAAGGAAGAGUUUGCCACAAUUUGUGAAAGCAAAGAAAUCUCAUGCCUCCUCCACUUGAAUUUUGGGGAGUAUAGAAAUGACACUGAGGCACAUGGCAUAAGGCAAAUAAGUAAAUGCUGAAAAUGGCUUUGAGUAUCUGCAUGUCUUAGUAUUCAAAGUAUACCCACCACCCCUCGCAGCCUUCGGAGCAGGUCUGCAGAGAGCUGCCUCUCUCUGAUACUCAGGAUAGCCAAAUCAUGGAAUCACGAUUGUCCACCACCAGCCCUGGACCUCUGGCAACAAUUCCAGAUCUUUAAAGCGCUGAUUACCUCUCUGCUUUCAUUCUUUUCCUAAUUAAAUAUUUCAAACCAGUGAAAAGGCUCAGUGCCUUUAGGAAUUUCAUCAACAUCCUAAAAAGCCUGACUCUGGAGAGAACAGGAUAUAAGUAUUAUAUAUCACAGCUAAAGCCUACUUGGCAACUCCUGUUUUCAACAGGGAAGAACACUUUUCAAAUUCACAAGAACUCUAUUAAUAUUCUGAAGUUAACUGGCCAUCCUUCAUUAGCCUAAAAUCCCAAAUCUGUAAUUGUUUAUGAGGAAUGUGUUAUAAGCCAGGCACACACUCAAUUCUAUUGAUACAAUGUGGAUACAAUGGGGAGAGAUGAAAACAGCUAUCGCCAAAAGGAACUUAGAAUUUUUCUGAGUAUUGCACAAGCCAGGAAUGUUUCAGGGCCUGAGAUACAAACAAUGUUCAAUACAUAUUUGCUGAACGAUUAAAUAAAUAGUCCUGAAUUAUUAUGAUAUACUUCUUAAUUAUAAAGACCAGCAUGUCAACAUGUGAGCUUGGCCACACAAUUUUCAGAAUGUAAAAUAAGACCAUGAAAUAUUUGCCAGUACUGGGAUACAGGUAGCCAAAUCCAGUGAGCAAAUCAUCUCAGCUUAUAAUAAAAUAUUGAACAUAACAUUUAAUACCACAGUUUUAAUGUCAACACUGAAAAUUCCAAGGGAAUGCUUCAUGGCACACAAUGGAGAUGGGAAGACAGUGCAGGGGAACCCAAGGAAGUCAAGUCUCCCUAUCCCUUCUCUAUUUCAAUCUGCACACUGCAGAAUUUUCUAUCCUUUUCCCCAUAUUUCUCAACAAAAGUGCAUUUGAAAACAUUAGCAAACUGUGGAGUAUCACCAAUCUAAUGAAACCAUGAGGCAACUGUGAUUUCCUGCCAUCGACCUUUCUGAUACUAAGAGUGAUACCAAUCUUUAUUUCUGGGUAUUAGCCCAAGCACUGUUCAUGCAUUAUCUCAUUCGAUUAUCACCCAACACUAUGAACUAGAAUCCGUUGUUAUUAUCAUUUGACAAAAGAGGAGGCUGAAGGUUAGUACAGCUAAGUAAACUGCCCAAGUCUGCAGAGAUAGUAUUAGAAUGAGGCCUUGAACCUGGAAUGUCAGAUUCCAAAGCCUUGUUGUGCUCUCCGCGUUAUAAAGCCUUGCUAAUGUGUGCAAGCUGAGCAUAUACAAGAUACACGGCUGGACAAUGUAUCUCUGGCUGCUGUUAGAGCUUACACUUGUGGAAAUCAAAAGCUAUGAUGCAGUUCAAACAAUUUCUGGUGAUUACAAUUACUGUUCUGCUAUAGGGAGUUACAUGCGGGCAGCUCGUGGCAGGGUGUUUAUCCUAGCAGUGCAGAUGCUGCUUGCAAGCCUUGCACCUGACAUGGAAGUGCCUGUGUUCAAGCCACGGAUCUGCUUCUGAUUCUCAACUUAAAGCUCUGGAUAAAAUCUACAUGUUUAUGAUGUACAGCAUGAUGUUUUGAAGAUUAUUCUGUUAAUGUUGGAGGCAGCAGGUCACAGCUUCUGUAUUUGGGUUCCUGCUACCCAUGUGGGAGAUACGGAGUGAGUUCUCUGCUUCCAGCUUCCACCUGGCCCUAUCAUUGUGGGGCAUCUGGGGGAGUGAACCAGAAGACAGGAGCUGUAUGUGUCUUUUUUUGUGUCUCUGCCUCUUUCUCUGCCUAUAAAACAAACAAUGUGCAGCUGGACAUUGCAUUUGUUUCUGUAAUUUGAGCUCAAACUCACAAGAAAUGAAAGGCUCUGCUACAUUUUGGGUGCUUAAUACCUGGCAGUUAAAAGUAAUGCUCUGAUAGACGCAUUAAAAGUGAUCCCAUCAGGGUCACUGGUGUGGCAUGUCAGCGUUAGCCACAGCCUGUGACACCAGCACCCCACAUGUGCCCAAAUUUGAGUCCCUGGUGCUCCACUUCUGAUCCAGCUCCCUGGGAAAGCGGCAAAAGAUGGCCCAAGUACUUGGACCCCUAUUCCCACAUGAAAGACCCUGAUGUUGUUUCAAGCUCCUGGAUUUACAUUGGCCUAGUUCUGGCAUAGCAGCCACCUGGGGAAUGAACCAAUGGAGAGAAAGUGUGUGUGUGUGUGUGUGUGUGUGUGUGUAAAACUCUGCCUUUCAAAUAAAUAAUUUUUUUAAAAAAGCAAUUCUAUCAUAAACCACUGGAUGUCCUGUAGUCUUACAUAGCACAUAAUAUUACUUUGCACAUAGUAGGUACUAAAUAAAUCUUUGCCAAAAUAUUAAAGAAGAGAAAAGGAGUGAGUUUUCUCAGGCUCACAUUCGUAAUUCUAAUCAGAAGUAGCAAAGGUCCAUGGCUUUGUGGCCCUCCUAUCAUAUUGAUAACAGGGUGAGCUUGCUCAGAAAAUUGAUGGCUUAAGAGUUUGGCUGCUCCUGUCGCAUGGUUCUUAAAGCCUAGUGUGGAACCAGAAAUGAAUAGCUGUUAUUAUGAUUGAGGAUUAAGACUCUAUAUCAGAAAGAAUCCCUAAGGUCUGGUUUUUACAUGAAACUUGUUAGUACUGUAAUAAGAGUGAGAGAAGGAAAACAUGAGGACCAUUUUCAAUAAUCUGGCUCAGUAUACUGAGAAAUGAAUAGAAAAUUAGAUCAAGGGCUACAUGACUUUUCACUGAUCAUUUUCCCAUGAAGGGAAGGUGUCAUUGCCAAUUGUGUUUACUGAUGGGUCUCUCCUAGCCUUCCUCCGGCUUUUUAAAGUGACAGAUAAAAUGCAUGUUUUUAUAAUGAACAACAUGAUGUUUUGAAGAUUAUAUACAUUGUGGAAUGGUUACAUCAAGCUGUUUAACAAAUUCUUUACCUUACAUAGUUGUCAUGUUUGUGGUUGUCAUGCUUGUGGUCACUUCUCUUGCAGUUUUCAAGGAUACAGUCUAUCUUUUGUAACUAUAGUCACUGGGUAUACAAUAGCUCUCUUGAACUUAUUCCUUCUAUCUAAUUAAUAUGUCCUUUGACUAACACUUCCACAAUCCUCACUGCCCCCAUCCCAUCCCAUCAUCUGGUAGCUGCCAUUCUAUUCUCUAUUUCCAUGCAAUCAACUUUUUGUUCUUAAAUGCCAUCAAUGAGUGAGAUCAUUUGGGAAGUUGUCACAUAAUGUCUUCCAGAUUCAUCCAAGCCUCUUAGCCUUGCUAAACUUCAGUUUCUUCAUCUGUAAAAUGGGAAUGACAGCCCUGAGUUAUAUAAAUACAUGAAGAAGAGCUUGAUGAUAAUUAUAAUGACAUGAGUAAAAUGCAGGCUUUCUUCCUGCUAGUGCUUCAGGCAAAGCAGAAUUGAGAAUCAAACACUUGCAAAAAGGCUGUCUGGUUUUUCUUUCCCUCUCAACAAAUUGAGUUAAAAAUCUCUGUUAAACAAACAUGCCUCCAGAACCUGGACCAAAUUACAGCUCUUAAUAAAAUAAGGCGUAGGUGGGAAAGAGGAUGAAAGACUUUCUCCUCCAGGUAGUUCACAAAAUACAGAAUUGGUAACAUUUGUGUGUUUUCAUGGAGUUCCAAGGAGUCUAGUCAUGACCGACGUGAUUAGGAAUCUGUCUGAAGGCAUUUUCCCCCUCUGCUCCCAUGACCACCCCCAGUUCCAACCUAACAGACACAGAAAAUGCCAUGUAGCAGGGGAAUGGAUUGGGUCAAAAGGGAUUUGGAGAAAUAUUUUAAUUUGAGGGUUUAUAAAAAUCUUUGCAAAAAUUCUCUUUCUAAAAUGUUUUUAAAAAAUAUUUAGUUAUUUUUUUUAAAAUGUGUAUUUAUUUUCAUCCACUUGAAAGGCAGAGUUAGAGUGCCAGAGAGAGAGAGAGAGAAACAGAGACAGAGAGAAAUGUUCCACCCUGUGGUUCACUCCGCAAAUACUCGAAACAAUACUCAGGCAUGACCAGGCCAAAGCCAGGAACCCAGAACUCCAACUGGGUUUCCCAUGUGGGUGGCAGAGAAUCAAGUAUCUGAGCCAUCAUCUAUCUGCUGCCUGCCUCCCUCCCAGGGUGUAGUUUGAAGUAGCUGGAAUGGAACCAGAGCUUCUGGAAACCAAACCAGCACUCUGGUAUGGGAUGCAGGAGUCCCAGGAAGUGGCUGACCAUGUUGCACCACAACACUGUGUCCUGAAACUAGAACUUCUCUCUUUGGUGCAGUGACUGAGUGUGCUCCCACGUCAGAGUGCCUGGCAUCCAGUCCUGUCUCUGCUUUGGAUUCCAUGAUGAUGUGCCUGUCCCUGCUACCCACACGGAAGCCCUAGAAUGAGCUCCAGGCUCCUGGCUUUACACAGCCUAGCCCUGGUCAUUGUGGGCAUUUGGGGAGUGAACCAGUGGAUGGAAGAUUUCUCUCUCUCCUUCCCUUUCAAAAAAAAAAAAAAAAAACUUUUCUUUUGCCAACAGAGGAGGCAUUACGUCAGAGAUGUUUCUGGAUUCUUGUGAUAUGGGGCAAUCCACUUGGCUGAUAACAUUCUCUACAAUUUUAUUAAGAUGCUUCUUCUGUUAAUUCACAUUUUCCCACCUGUGGCUUGAGGGCUACCAAGAGACAUGCUUUGUCUCUAGUUAUUUCACCAGGCAGCUGUGAUGGUUAGAUGAGACAGCUCAUGGGAAAGUCCUUUGAGAACUAAAAUUUGUAAGACUAAGGGGAUUUGGAGCUGGUUUCUGUGUUCAGUGUCUCCCCUCAUAAACAUAAGAUAGGACUCUAUCUUGAUCACUUCUUCCUGCAGUCCUGUUGAGAACAGUUCAGAAUGCCAUGGGCAUUCACGCAAAGGAAACUCAGUCUUCUUCCUCAGCCACGCGUCUGUUUAUAAAAGAGAAUGUUUCACCAAUGCCUUCCUUAAAAUGUUAGCUCCUUCUUAAACAAAUCAAGACUUAGUCUGAAGAAGGACACCCUGGUAUUUCCAGAAUGUCACUGAUCUCAACUUCGAGAGCAAUAUGUGGUGUUUCAUUUCUAUGAAAGUGUAGAGACAGAAACUGCCUAGAAGGAGCUGCAAUAGCACUUGCAGUAUGAGAGUCAGCCUCAGAGUCUGGAAAGAGUUAAAAAGUUCACGCUUUCUGUUACAACACCACAAUGCUCUAUGGUAUGGACCCUGGGUACCAAAGCCAAGUAGCAAUGUGGUUCUUGAACCUGGCUGAAUCACUUGGGCAGCGUAGAAAACAGCAUGAAUUACCAGUUCCAAAUACAGACCUCCUGAAUGAGAAACCAGGAGUGUGGGAAGUGCAGAAAUCUGGAAGUGAUCAAAGGUAACUGGAGAGGGAACGCUGACACAGUGCAGGAGGCCAAUGACUGUAAGAAGAUACCAUCAAUGAGGCCACCACAGCUUGUCACACAAAGUGAGUUCCCUGUUCAACAAAGGCUCUGAGGACAAAGAGACUGGUUUCUGGUGAGAGGCUGGCUGCUAGAAUGACUGUCACAAGAUAGAAGCACGACCAAUGAGCCCUCAGGCCCCCCUUCUUCUUGUCACUCAUGGUCUGGGGUCUUACCCUGUUCUAGAGCAUACUGUCAUAGGAGAAACAAGAGGAAGAACCAAUUGUAAAACAACAUGAGAAAGUCCUUUGAGAACUAAAAUUUGUAAGACUAAGGGUAUCUGGAGCUGGUUUCUAUGAGAGCAACAGCCAUGCUUGAUAUUUAUGUGUCAGGCCCCUUUUCAAGCACUGCAUAGCAAUGGACUCAGUCCUCUUUAAUAUACAGCUAAAUAGGGAUGACCUUUGAGCUUACCAGGAAAGGAACCCAUGUCUCACAUUGGAUGGCCUGGAUUCAAGUCUUGGCUCCAACUCUUGACUCCAGUUGCCUGCUACAGCAGACCUUGGGAGGCAGCAGUGACAACUCAUGUAAUGUGGCUCUUGCCACUCAUGUGGGAGACCUGGAUUGAGUUCCUGACUCACAGCUUCAGCCUGGCUCAGCCUCUGCCAUUGGAGGCAUUUGGGGAGUGAACCAGCAGAUGGAACAUCAACAUCAACAUCAUUAUCAUCAUCAUCAUCUCUCAAAAUAAUUUUUAAAAAAUGAAAAUUAAAAAGAUCUAACUUGAAAAAAAAGUUAAAGACCAACAUAAAUAUCCCUUGAAGCAUUUCCUAGCAUCAGCUUAGAUUCUGCUAUCUUGGCUCAAACCAUCCCCAACGUUGUCCUUGUCAGUUCGUCAGCUCCGCUACCCGGAUACCAUCUGUAGGCUUAAGCUGUCUCAGUUUACCCAGUCCUCAUUAGAUAAGCAAUAAGUGCAAUGAGUUGAUUUGGAAGGUGGUAACAGGAAAGGGAGUGAGGAAUUCAUACAGAGAAAGGAAAGAAGCUAAUCAAGGGGGUGUUAAUAAGCAGAUGAUCACGGUAGGUAUGUGGGGUUUGAUCUCAAUGGGGUGAUCUUGGGGCCAGUGUGCACACACUUCAGGGUACUGCACACUUGGUGCAUAAAGCAGGUGCAUUUAUUUUCCAGCUCCCUUCCCUCACUGGCUUCUGUAGCCAUUACAUCCCCUGUAUUUUCUGGCUGUCCCUCUGAAAGACCUGAAACCCGCAGGCAGAGGUGGUCCCUUCAUGAGGAUGCUAAAGUGUGUCAUAAGGCAGUGAGUGUGGCAGAGAGAACAGCAUAACCUUGGCAGUGACUGCUGUAAUAGAAUAGGUGCCUUUGAAAGACCUAAGUUACAGCAGGGAAGGAAAUAAAAACAGAAGGAAACCAUGACUUUUUUUUUUAUGAGGGCACCAAGGAAAGAUUAUGUUGGUUCUGGCUCUACUUCUGAGUGAUUUGUGUGUGUGUGUGUGUGUUUGCUGGGUUUGUUUUUAAUGGACUUGGUGAUUUAUGUAACAGAUCCAUCUUUUCUUCCUAGCGACAUGCUUUUGAGACUCAGCCCUUUGCUUAAGCUGUUCUCCCCAUAGAGAACGUCUGGGCUCCUCUACUCAACCAACCAUAAUUCCACCUGUCCUUCAAAAGGCCUGGUAAAUUGCCUGUGACACCCUUUAACAUUUUUUUCUCAUUUACAUCUCUUAUUUCAUUCUGUUGGUAUCAAAGUCAGACCUCUCAUGUUUCUCUGCCUCUCUUAUUCCAGUAUUCUCCAAGUGGGAGGUGCUCAACAAAAUGCCUAUUGAAUGGGUAGACCUAUCCUAAAUUAGGACACUCCAUGCUUCUUAAUAGUUUUAAGUGCAGACCCCAGGCACAUGGCUGUGGAAGAAAUAUCUUGUUUCUCUUCUUACAUUUACAAAAGUUCUAUUAGUUUGUUCACUGUUACAGGUUUCUAACAUCUUCUUCUCUGCUCUUUAUAACAUGAGAAGUGUGAUAUCACUGUCCAAUAGAAAUAACAGCACAAAUAUGCUUCUGUAAUGUGAUGACACAGAUCAACAAACCCAUCAGUGAAGGUCAGUGAAGUAGUAAUAUUAAAGAUAAGGGGGGAAAAAUCACUGUUUACUCUGCUAGGAAGGGAGCAGCAGCUUUGCAAAUUAACUUCAAAAUCUCUUCGUCUGGCUUUACUGAAAAGCCACUUUCCCUGCUGGGAAUUUAUGAUUUGGUUUAUGAACUCCUACUCAUCCUGCAAAACCCAACACACUUAUCCAUGAAGAAGAAAAGAAGAUACAUGCUGACACUUGUAGACUGCUUACUUUUCCAGGCAGUGUGUGUGACACACCACUUAUUUUAUUUUCCCAGUAAUACUACAAGUCAGGAAUUAGCCCCAGCUGCCAGAAAAGAAAGGUGAGGCUAAGCAAAUUUCAGUUAACGAGUGAUGAAAUCAAGAUUGGAAUUCCUAUCUCUCAAAUAGCAAAGUGCACAUGCUUUGUUUUAGUCAACAUUUUCCUCCAUACCAUUUAUAUUAUUCACUUUUUUGGCAUAAAUAAAUUCUAUUACUAUCUCAAUAAGUCCUCAGAAAAUAUGCUGUUAGUUGGGUAUUAUCAACCACAUUUUAUAGGAAUGUCAAGGUCUAAGUAGCCUUUUUCUGCUUUCACCUUCUAUUCUUUCAUAGUGACUGAUCUGUCUCAUUAUACUAUUGUCUGAAUUUUUCAUAAUUAUGCAUUUAUGUUGUAUAUCUCCCCAAAAGAGCACAAUUUCCUUGAGAACAAGAUUUCUAUCAUCAUUUGUGGGCAUCGUCAGCAUAAUGGACAAUGAAUGAAAGUAUGCAAUGAACAGACUCAUCCUGCCCCCAAAAAUAAAAUGUAAAAAUAUAUCAAUGCUUUGAAAAACUGCGAAAUUUAUUUGAAAAAGAAACUAUUGACAAAGGGAUGUCAUAGAAUGCUUGAUGUCCAACUGGCCAUUCUAGAAUAUAUUUUAUUUGUUCAUUUGUGCUAUUCACAUCCACACCUCUUUCAUACCUGACAAUGCUCCAAGUCUUUGUCUCUGGACAUAGCCAAGAAUCAAGAUAUAAUCAUCUGAAAGACAUGUCACCAGGCUGUCCACACACUAAAGGUCACGGACCUGAUUCAGUUCAGCGGUCACCUGGCCCUAACACACAGCAUUGUUACUCUUCCAUUACAAACACUCCUAAUAUGGUGAGUUUUGCUGCAUUGAUAGCAUGUUAGAAGAAGCCAAGUAAAAUGGAACAGACUGUCAGCGGCAGGCACACUUAAAGUCCUAUGGGAACAAGAGAGCAUACAAAAACAAUAAAAGGGGUGGAAGUAAGAACCGGGAAGCACGGCACUCUCAGUAUAUUUUAUGUAAGGGCAAAGCAACCCUGCUUUGCUCCACAGGUUCCGAGGAUGUCCCUGUGCUGUGGCAAAGAACAAUAUUGUUACAAACUGUUAGCAUGUUUUCUAUCAACUCUAUUUUAAGACACAAGGACAUGAACAAUUUGUAUUUUUCAAGAAUAACUUCUAUUCAAAACAGUUCUGAUCUUUAAAAAAUAAAAAGCUAAAAAUUUGCUUCCUAAAAGGGCAAAACUUCAACUAUCAGAAAUCAUGGCUAUUAAGAAAGAAUAGUUCCCUGUGGGUUCUGGAGAUUGCCAAAGUGUUACAGCCCUGAGAUGGUGCCAGUCUUGGUAAUAAGCAGAGUGUGCAGUUGUGCUAAGAACAGUUGGGUAUCUCACAGCGGAGUUCCUUUCACGAGCCAAGGCUACUGGGUGUAUUUUAGAGACCUACUUAGCUUUGGCAAUGUCAAAUCCUUUCCUUUGUUACCCACUAGCAUGCACUACAGAACAGGAGGUUAUGCUGGUGUAUGAUAUGCAAAUUACUGAUACAAUCUUUUCAUUGUUGUGAGUAAUGAAGAUGUUGAUCAUCUUCUUAGCAUAGAUUCUCUUAUUAUUUCUUUUCUUAUUUGUUGUGUAUUACACCAGAGCUAUAUCCAUAUACAUGAAAUAAAAUGGGAAAAAGAACAUCUAUGGCCCUAAUUUGCCAACAUCAAUUUUCUCAUUUUCAUAUGCCUUCUAGUUCUUGUUCAUACAAGAACUAGGAAAAAUGACCCUAUUAUCUCUUUUACUGUGUCCACAUUUGUUCACUAUGACUUUAAGCUUUCAAAUGAAAGACAGCUGAUCCCUACUUCCUGAAGCUACACUCUUGGCAUAUCUAUCUCUGGCAAUAGGCUGCACAGAAGUGAAGCACCCACUCUGAGCCAAGGUCUCAAGUUGACUUGUAGCUUUACCUUUCUUGGAGUCUUUCCAAGCCAUCAAGUGAAUAAGCCUGGGCUAGCCCACAGGAUGACAGAAGUACAACAUAUGGUUGAGUUACAUACAUUGUCCCAGCAGUCAGCUGGCCACCAGUUAUGUCAGUGAGGCUAUCCCAAAUCAGUCAGUACCUGGCUGACACAAUGGCUGACGACACACACAAGCAAGACCAGCUGAUCAGCAAAACCAUUUGUGCAUGAAUAAACCAGUGAGUUUUAAUAAAUGCUUAUUGUUUUAAGCACUAAGUUUUAUGUGCUCCUUAUGCAGCAAUAAUUGAGACAAGAUGCAUGCAGUUGACUUAGUCAUAAUCACGUAGUAAAUCAAACUUCUAAUAGCUAUCCAAUGUGUCAUAAAGUCAAUAUACAGUGAUUAAUUUAAACGUUCCCCCAACUGUUAGAUAUUUAAGUUGUUUGCAGUCAGGAAAGGCAAUAAUGCAAUGCAGUAUGCACAAGCUACUGGUCUUCUAACAGUGAUUUUUAAUCCUGAAAUUCCUGAUGCUGAAAACUCUGAUUUGGCAAACUUAGCCCCAAUUAACCUCAAUUUUCUCAUCUGUGAAAAUGGAAUAAUUGCAAUUUGAAAUUGUGUCUUGAAUUCUCAAGAUGAUAUAUGACCAUCUAGUGCCUGUAGUUGACUAACAAAUGGAGGACAACAUUUAAAUAAUUUUGCAAUUCACUUAAUCCCAAAGUAUGAAAUUGUGGGUUCAAAUAUAGAAGCAAAAGAUAAGAAAAGGAGAAAUAUUGUUGGAUUGCAUUUAAGAAAUAUAUCACAUGGUGUAUAGGUGCCACCAAUUGUCUUUGGAAUGAGGUUUAAUUUAAUAAGCAGACACACAACAAUGGGUAUGGAAAGAAAAAACAGAGCUUAGAGAGGGAAUUAUGGAUUUAUUUACCUUCCAUUUCUUAAGAUGAGAGGCCCCAGCCGGUGCCGUGACUCACCUGGCUAAUCCUCCACCUGCAGCACUGGCAGUCCGGGUUCUAGUCCCGGUCAGGGUGCCGGAUUCUGUCCUGGUUGCUCCUCUUCCAGUCUAGCUCUCUGCUGUAGCCCGGGGAGGCAGUGAAGGAUGGCCCAGGUGCUUGGGCCCCGCACUCGCAUGGGAGACCAGGAGGAAGCACCUGGCUCCUGGCUUCGGAUUGGCAUAGCUCCUGCCGUAGCAGCCAUUUGGGGGGUUAACCAACGGAAGGAAGACCUUUCUCUCUGUCUCUCUCUCUCUCUCACUGUCUAACUCUGCCUGUGGGGGAGGUGGGGAGAAGAUGAGAGGUCCUUAAAAAUCAGUGUUCUACAGGAGUAGACUAGUUCUGGACCUUGGGAAUCAAAAACCACAGCUCUGGUGUAUACCAAUACUAGUGUGUGUGGCAAGAACUCAAAAUGUUCUAGAAGAAUAGGCUAACACCAUAAAAACUGAUAAAUUUUGAGAUGAGUGUGUUUACCCCAAUUUAAAUGUUAUACAACUCUCAUUUAUCAAAAAGAAUGCAUAAAAUUCCAUGUGAUUUAUUUUAUAAACAAGUAUAUUUUUAGGGUAUCAGUUUAAAAUAAUAAUAAAAAAAAAAGACAAAGAAAGCAUAAUGAGCCAAUGAGCAUGUUAAACAGCCAACUUCUUAAGCCAUGUAUCCAAGGAUUCAGCUUCAGUGUAUCUGGAGCUGAGUCCAAGAAUCUCUUCUUGAGCUUUCCCCAGGAGAAUGUUAAGAAUCCAUCAGUUUCAGGGGAACCACUGGUUUACUGCCCAUCCUCUUUAUUUUUCAGGCAGGAGACCAAAGCCAAGAAAGGUAAAAAACAAACAAACAAACAAACAAUGCUGGGCUUCUGAGGCCUGGUUCCAUGGGGCUAACCAUCAGGAGAGUGAUCCUGAGUUCAUCAAAGGACAGGAAUCAGCCAAUGCCCUCUUCCAAAGAGUUUAUUCUUCCCAAGGCCAGCCUCCACCUCACUCUGUUUCACACACGCCUUAUAUGCUGGGGAAAUGAUUAAUGUGAAUACAUUCUUCAUCCUCCCCUGAAAAACUGUCCUCUGAAAUGUGACUGUAGUGAGUGACUUUCAGAAAGCUUCAAAUGCGCUAAGAAAUGGUUUAUCUUAUACAUCAACUUAUAGCUGAGUGCUAGCAUUAACUAGCACUAAAUAAAAUCAAGGUGAAUAGAUUCUCUUAAAUCUUAUUGUCUCCUUGGGGCUUUAUAAAACUUUUUUUUUUGGAUCACAGAACAUACCAUGUUUUAUAACUCAUUUUUUCAAACAUAUAACAUGAGACAUUUCUGUCUCCCAAGUUAGAAGUUUGGGAGGGGGUACUCUGGUCAUUUGAUUUGCUCAAAUACAAAAGAAAAAUUCUUAUUUUGGUAGAACUAGAAGGCUUGAUACAGCUUUAGACUUAUUUAAAAAUUAGUUUAAUAUAAAAGUUGAAUUCAGGCCCAAAGCAACCUAUCAGUCCAAGUCAGCUGUCUAUCAUUCUAUGCUUUAAGUGACUUGGCAAGAAGAACAAUUCAUGGUGUAAUAAUGAGAAGCCUGCUGUUGGAGGUGACGAGGUUUUAAGUCUUCCCCAUUUAGAGACAUAUGACGUUAGACUGACUCAGCUUCCUUAAGCCUUAACAUGUCCUCCCAUGUAAUAAUUUUAAUCAACAUUUACUAUAUGUCGAGAUAUUUGAAAUAGUCUAUUUCCAUGAUUUCACUAAGUACAAUAACGCCAUGAUGUGGCUGUUGUCUUUAAUGCCCAUUUUAUAGAAGUAGAUAUUAAGAAUCAGAGAAUAUGAAAGCUCAGUCAUUACCUUGCCCAAAGUCAUGCAGAUAGAAUGGGAUUAAGCCUUACUUUGAACCUUGACAGACUGAUUCCAGAGCCGAACCUAAAUACUCAAGAGCUUGGAGUGUGCUUGGCUUAUAGUGGGAGCUCAAAAAUAGUAAAUCUAAUGCUAUUAUUGUUAGAGGAGUAAACUGAAGAACACACGUAAGCUAACUUCACGUAUUUUUUCCCUUCAAUAAUUUGUAGCAUACAUACUAAUAAUCAAUGAAACUAAGCUCGUUUAACAGUUUGCACUCUUUCACAUAAGUCUACUGUAGUCUGGAAAAUACAUAAAUGUAUAAAGUUUACAGAAUCCCACCAUUUUUGACUUAAAAGUUUAUCCUCCCAAUCUUUUCUCUAUGCCAGUGACUACUGCCCAUUCCCCCCUAAAUAUCAAUUAUGUAUAAAUAAGACUGAAACCUUCCCCCUCCUCCCAUAACUAUAUUAUGAGCAUUCUUUCCCAUAGUAUGUAGUAUCCAUGAAACCAGGACUUUGGGGGCCACCACUGUGGGAUAGCAGGCUUAAGCCUCUGCCUACAGUGCCAGCAUCCCAUAUGGGUGGCGGUUCAUGUCCCAGCUGCUCCUCUUCCAAUCCAGCUCUCUGUUGAUGGCCUGGGAAAGCAGUGGGAGAUGGCCCAAGUGCUUGGGCCCCUGCACCCUGCUCCUGGCUUCGGACUGGCCCAGCUCUGGCCACUGCGGCUAUUUGAGUAGCAAACCAGCAGAUGGAAGACCUCCCUCUCUCUAAUUCUGCCUCUCAAAUAAGUAAAUCCUUAAAAACAGGAUUUUCAUCAUGGCACAAUAUUUCAUUUUACAGAUAAACUGGAGAGAGGUAGGAAGAGUGACUGCAUUUGCCCCUUCCUACUCCCCCCUCUGUAACAGGAAGCAUCUGAUGAAAUCAAGAUGGGUCACAUUAUCUAAUGCAUUGAAAGAUCGUUCUGUUAAAAACUUACAGGACUUUGCUCCCCGCCCCACUUAAUUUGGUUGAAGGACGAGAUUAAUGCCCAUCAAACUUCUUCUUCCCUCUUUGCGUCCUCUCCUGCCAUGGGAUGGAGAGUGUUGUAACCCUGAGAUUUGGUUGUGGUUAAGGAAGUCUGGGAGAGAAAAUUCUGCUGCCUAAGCACAUGGCUUAGUAUAAUCUGCAAGUAGUUUCUUUUCCCCUGACGUGUCCCAUAUUGUCAGAGGGAUGGUUAACACUGUGUAUAUUUUAUUGUUUAACAGAGUGAGUGCAAACCUCUUCUGGGAGACAUCAGGCAAAUCAAGCUUUUUUUUUUUUCCCUUAAAAUAAAAUAGUUCAUGGAUGAUAUGAUUCUUGUUAUCUCAUCAAAAAAGCAUAUUUAAGGUGAUACUAUAAUAACCGUAUUAAAUUAGACUAAUAAAGGUGAGUGUUUGGUCUGGUGGUUAAGACAACACGGCCAACAUUGGAGUCUGUAGUCAGACAACAGCUCUGGCUCUUGAUUCUAACUUCUUGCCAAGGCAGAUUCUGGGCAGCAGUGGGUAAUGGCUCAAGCUCAUAUCAGACCUGGACCCAGCUUUGGCCCUCACCUGGCCCCAGAUGUUAUAGGAGUUUGAAGAGUGAACUGUUGAUAGGUGUACUCUCUGUCUAUAUCUUUGUCUCUUUUUCUAUGUCUAGCUAACUCUGCUUCUCAAAUAAAAUUGUCAAAUACUG